UACUUCCUUUCCUCCGUCCAACAAAAUAUGACUCAAUUUUGACUAAAUUUGAAUGCAUUUAUACACUAAAUCAUGUGUAGAUACAUCCAAAUUUUGACAAAUUUAAAUCAUCUUUUGUUGGACAGAGGAAGUAUAAA
rfam:Brachypodium distachyon strain Bd21 chromosome 3, whole genome shotgun sequence.